rnacentral:sRNA from 1 species
UGUCCAGUGCUAUAUCAGCUGGUCAGACAGAACACUGCCCGUGCCGAAUCUGCAGUUAGGCUACUUUGAUCGUAUCCACAUCAAGGCUGGACAAACUGUCCAAGUUGAGGCUACCAUUCCAGGCGAGGUCAUGGCUUUCAGAGAUCAAGGACAGUGGGUGAUAAAAGCUGGCCUGAUGUACUUGUACUGUGGCGGGCAGCAACCUUUCCAGAAAAAAUCAGCACCUUCCAAUAUGUUGUAUGGACAGUUUGAGAUUAUUUCAACACUUCGAACCAGAAUUUUGUAGACACAUUGUGACCUGUGUACACGUUCAUUUUCAAUUCGAUUUAAUUAUUACAUAUGUGUAUUUUAACUGGAGGCUGUUAUCUUGAAUUUUAAAUGUAAGAUGCAGUUAUUGUGACGGAGACUAAUCCAAUAAACUAUUGUAUUUAUAUGGACACAG